AUGAAAUGCAAGGACGCUCUUUUUAGAGGUCCGACUCUUUCAUUUUCCUUACACUGUGAACCAAUUUUUUUACACCAUUUUUUAAACGCAUGAGUUUAGGAAUGUCACAAGUCUCUUAAUUGAGCAUAAAAUUGUAA
rnacentral:misc_RNA from 1 species